rnacentral:rRNA from 1 species
UACAGAGGGUGCAAGCGUUAAUCGGAAUUACUGGGCGUAAAGCGUGCGUAGACGGUUACAUAAGUCGGGUGUGAAAGCCCCGGGCUCAACCUGGGAAUGGCCGUUGAAACUGGCGAACUGGAGUGUGGCAGAGGGGGGUGGAAUUCCGCGUGUAGCAGUGAAAUGCGUAGAGAUGCGGAGGAACACCGAUGGCGAAGGCAGCCCCCUGGGCUGACACUGACGCCUCAGGCACGAAAGCGUGGGGAGCAAACAGG